rnacentral:tRNA from 1 species
UGUUCUGUAGCUUAGUUGGUUAAAGCGCCGGACUAGCGAUAACGGAGGCGUGGGUUCGAAUCCCACCAAAACAA